UUAUUUUCUGUCAUCUCCAAGAAUAGUGAUACAUGACUGAAACAAAUGAUAAUGGCUGGGGAACCAAAAUAAUUUAGUGGUCAUGUUUUGCACAUUCAACCCCACAAAACCCUACCACCGAGUAUUUGUUUGAAACAUAUUAGAAAUGAAAACUCUAGCUUGCACGCUAAGAACGCACGGGAUUAAUUUCUUCUUAUUCGAGAUUUAGUGAAAAUUGAUUAUUAUUAUCCCAAAAAAUAUAUACAAAAAAUAAAUAUAAACAAAAUUUAUAUUUGAAAGUACAAACGUAAAUUCAAACAUGAAGAAAAAGAAAACCCAGAACCAAAGCUAUCUAGGCUCGCAGUCUGCAUACAAAUUGAAGGGGGGAGAAGAAACAGUCUCUUACAGACUCUCAGCACUUUAGUACGAGUUGGAUAGCAUUACGUUGCACAGGCAUGAGACUCUGUAAUUUGGAGCAUUGUGUAAGUGUCAUCACAGAAAGAUCAAAACAACAUAUAUACGAAUACAUAAGCCUAUCUCAGGAAAGAUGCUUCUUAACAAUUAGCAGAGCUAAGACGAACCUGGCAAAGUUUAUCAAAUAGCUGUCUGUCAGUGUGUGAGAACUUCACAAUGAAGUCAGCUAGAUAAUUAGCCAAAUUAAUCUGUUCAAUACAGUUCACGAAUUUCNN
rnacentral:lncRNA from 1 species